rnacentral:rRNA from 1 species
AACGAACGCUGGCGGCAUGCCUAACACAUGCCAGUCGAACGAGACCUUCGGGUCUAGUGGCGCACGGGUGCGUAACGCGUGGGAACCUGCCCUUAGGUUCGGAAUAACUCCCCGAAAGGGGUGCUAAUACCGGUUAAUGUCUUCGGACCAAAGAUUUAUCGCCUUUGGAUGGGCCCGCGUUGGAUUAGCUAGUUGGUAGGGUAAAAGCCUACCAAGGCGACGAUCCAUAGCUGGUCUGAGAGGAUGAUCAGCCACACUGGGACUGAGAAACGGCCCAGACUACUACGGGAGGCAGCAGUGGGGAAUAUUGGACCAUGGGCGAAAGCCUGAUCCAGCAAUGCCGCGUGAGUGAUGAAGGCCUUAGGGUUGUAAAGCUCUUUUACCCGGGAUGAUAAUGACAGUACCGGGAGAAUAAGCUCCGGCUAACUCCGUG